rnacentral:rRNA from 1 species
UACAGAGGGUGCGAGCGUUAAUCGGAAUUACUGGGCGUAAAGGGUGCGUAGGUGGUUGCUUAAGUUAGGUGUGAAAUCCCAGGGCUUAACCCUGGAAUUGCGCUUAAGACUGGGCGGCUAGAGUGUUAGAGAGGGGGGUAGAAUUUCCGGUGUAGCGGUGAAAUGCGUAGAUAUCGGAAGGAAUACCAGUGGCGAAGGCGGCCUCCUGGCUAUCGACUGACACUGAGGCACGAAAGCGUGGGGAGCAAACAGG